rnacentral:rRNA from 1 species
AUUCCUUCGGGAUGAAACAUUUGUGACUUAGUGGCGGACGGGUGAGUAACGCGUGGGUAACCUGCCUUAUACAGGGGGAUAACAGUUAGAAAUGACUGCUAAUACCGCAUAAGCGCACAGUCUCGCAUGGGACAGUGUGAAAAACUAUGGUGGUAUAAGAUGGACCCGCGUCUGAUUAGCUAGUUGGUGGGGUAAGGGCCUACCAAGGCGACGAUCAGUAGCCGACCUGAGAGGGUGAUCGGCCACAUUGGGACUGAGACACGGCCCAAACUCC